rnacentral:rRNA from 1 species
UACGGAGGAUGCGAGCGUUAUCCGGAUUUAUUGGGUUUAAAGGGUGCGUAGGCUGGCGCUCAAGUCAGGGGUGAAAUGCCGUGGCUCAACCACGGAGCUGCCUUUGAUACUGUGCGUCUUGAAUUCGGAUGCCGUGGGAGGAAUGAGUAGUGUAGCGGUGAAAUGCAUAGAUAUUACUCAGAACACCGAUUGCGAAGGCAUCUCACGAAUCCGAGAUUGACGCUGAGGCACGAAAGCGUGGGGAUCAAAC